UUGCGCCUGCGGCGGACCCGGCACGAACCAGAACGGCGCUUCGCAGGCAGCCGGUUCGUGUACGGUCUGGUACAUCCAGGAAUUAUCCUGGAUUUAAUGUCUUCU
rnacentral:sRNA from 1 species